UUUUUUUUUUGAGACAGAAUCUUGCUCUGUCACCCAGGCUGGAGUACAAUGGCAUGGUCUCGGCUCACUGCAACCUCCACCUCCCAGGUUCAAGUGAUUCUCCUGCCUCAAGCUCCCGAGUUAGCUGGGAUUACAGGCGCAUGCCACCACACCCAGCUAAUUUUUGUAUUUUUAGUACAGACAGGGUUUUGCCAUGUUGGCUAGGUUGGUCUCGAACUCCUGACUUUGUGAUCCACCCACCUUGGCCUCCCAAAGUGCUGGGAUUACAGGCGUGAGCCACCGCGCUGCCCGGCCCAGGCAGGCUUUCUAGGGAAGCCAUGGAGGCAGCGACAUGCUUUCCUUCUACCCCACUCUACUGCCAACUUGGACAAAAUACACUCGGGGUCUGGGCUGGAAGGCAGAUUCCUACAAGUCCCCUCCUCUGGAGGAAGUUAAACAGCAAAGGCGUCGAGCUGCCCUGCCCGCUCCUUUUUGUGUGUAUAUACGAAGAACACAGAAACAGUGGUUCUUCUUUCAGUCAUUCCAACUAAAACAGACAUUUUGCAUAGAGAGAAUACCAGCCCACUUGGUUUCUUGUCUUUUAUUAUUGGCGUCAGCUAGGACUAUACGUGGCCUUAAACGUCAUGCACUGAUGGACAGAAGAGAAAAAA